rnacentral:precursor_RNA from 1 species
CAGGCAGCACUCUCAAGUCAGGUCCCUGAGCGGGCGCUCACAUCUGCCUGGACCCUGCUGCCUAGA